UGCCAAAUUGCUUUGGGUUCUGU
rnacentral:misc_RNA from 1 species